UGGAGUUUAUAAAAGUACUUAGCAAGUUCAUUCAUCAGUUAUCUAAAGAAACAGCCAUCAGUUAUCUAAGGAAAGAUCUUGCAGGAUAAGUAAGUUCAAUUUAAGCCAGAUGCAGCCAUCAGGACCAGCAGCUGCUGCUUAAGCAGAAAGCAGGGCAGGGGAGCACAGCACCACACCUUCUCACCUCUUUAUGUGCAGCAAGAAUUGGUAUCUUGUAGGGUCAGUGGUGUCUGAAGAGGAAGUGGAUGAGAGGAGAGCAAGAAUGCAUGAGAAAGUAUCUGGAGGAAAGGAUCCAAAUGGAAGGAGUCAGAAGUUACAAAAGGUGAACACGUCAAGAGCUAGAUCAGCAAAAGUUUUAGAAGUGGAAAGCUGAAUGCACCAAAGGAAGAUUUUUGUCCCAGCUACUUUUAUAUAAUAGAUCAAUAAA